AUGCUGCUGCAGGCCGUGGUGCUGGGGCAAGGUGCCAGAGGCUCCAGAGGCUGCCAAACUCCAGGCUCUGACAGGAUAUUUGGCAGCAAUCCCCAGCCUCACCUACUUGUCCAUGUGGUGCCCCUUCCUUGUGGUUGUUUUUCAGCAGGAUUACUUCCUGGAUCAGCUUUACCAGAUUGUUGUACUGUAUUCUCACACCCAGCAACACAGAGUUUUCGCAAAGAGCUUGAGAGAGUCUUCCUACCAUUACUGACAUUGGCAGCAUCACAGUAUCUCAGCUUUGGGUGGAUACCACCAAUGAAUCUUCCACUUGGACCCAUAGCCUUAUGCUCUUCUCACCACCCUUUGUGAAGGGUUACUUCAUUUACAGCAGUAACAUUGGCUCGAAGAGGACUCCAAGCAGUCAAAUCAGCUUUUCCCCAUGCUCUGUUUUAUCACAGAUUAAUUCAGACCACACCCAAGAUGUGUAUCUGUAGCUAUGCCACGCAGUAGCUUUUCUUUUUUACCAAGUAAAGGACUGCAAAAGUUGUAUAACACUUAGAACUGCCUUCUUGCUUCCCUUAUAUAUAGACAAAUACAGCUGUUUGUGGUUUCCCCCUCCUCCCCCAAGUACAUUAGUCUGCUAACACUCGGCAAAUGCACCUGGUAUAUGUUUCUGAGAACGAGGAGGCAACAAUACUGUACGUGCUCUGUGUGCUGGUUUAAAAAGAACACCUGAGGUUAUUUCAAAAUAACAUUCAAAAGUGGCAAAGGCAAAUAACUACAAGCCAAACUGAGACCUACUCUAAUUUAAACCAGGUCUUCAGCAGCCAGGUGGGAUGUGUCCCCUAAUGGAUCAGAUCUAGAUCAGAGAUCUAGAGAUCUAACAGAUCCCUAAAUUUUCAACAAAUACAGCUAUUCCGAGCUGUCUAUGGACAACUUCUCCUACCCCAAAUGUGUUAAUUGUUAAAUAUAUUUGUGAAAAAGCAAGUUUCUUUCUUGAUGCACAGGACACUGAAGGUUUCCUGGAGUGCAGUUUCAGACAUGGUGCAUGCACAGCACCUGGACUGACAGUGAUCUGUGGGAUGGCUUGUUCAUAAACUGUUCAGUAUUGGAAGAACAGUGUUUUAGAGUAUUAAAAGGUGUUAAGUUUUUACCAUUGACUGUGCAGGGCUUAGCAGAAGAAUAACCUUUCAUUCCGUUAUUUUAAUAUGCCAAGAAAUACUGUAAUCAAGGAGAGCAAAGCCCCGGCUGCAUUUCUGAUACUGGCCUUCAGCAAGUCGCUGUGGUUCGGUAGUUCGUGAGCACCCGAGGAAGGGGGUUACAAAAUGCAAGCUGUCUCCUUUACCUCUGAAUAAAGGAGAUCCUGACUGCCA
rnacentral:lncRNA from 1 species